UACGAAGGGGGCUAGCGUUGUUCGGAAUUACUGGGCGUAAAGCGCACGUAGGCGGCUUUGUAAGUCAGGUGUGAAAUCCCGGGGCUCAACCUCGGAACUGCCUUUGAUACUGCAAGUCUUGAGUCCGGAAGAGGUGAGUGGAAUUCCUAGUGUAGAGGUGAAAUGCGCAGAUAUCAGGAAGAACACCCGUGGCGAAGGCGGCUCUCUGGGACGGUACUGACGCUGAGACGCGAAAGCGUGGGGAGCGAACAGG
rnacentral:rRNA from 1 species